GGCGAAACGCUGGCGGCAGGGCUUAACACAUGCAAGUUCGCACGAGAACGCUUUUGGCUUUUGCCCAGGCAAGUACAGUGGCCGACGGGUGCCUAUCCCGUAAAAUACCUGCCCUCCAGCGCCGGACAAUCACCGGAAACCGUGGCUAAUACCCCACGUCCUCUGGAACCCCCAUGGGAACCAAAUUAAAGCCUUCGGGCUCCUUUGGAUGGGUCUGCUUUGUAUUAGCUUGUUGGUGAAGUAACAGCUCACCCAGGCCACCAUCCCUACCUUGUCUGACAGGACUAUCAGCCACACUGGGACUGAUACACCGCCCACACUCCUACGGCACGCACCAGUGGGGAAUCUUGCACAAUGGGGUAACCCCUGAUGCACCCAUGCCGCGUGUACGAAGACACCCCUAUGGGGCGUAAACUCCUUUUCUUAACUAACAGACCCCUGUAAUUUCUGGGCGCGACGGUAGUUCAGGAAUAACCACCGGCUAACUCCGUGCCAUCAGCCCCGGUAAUACCGAUGGUGCAAACGUUGUCCGCAAUCUCUGGAUGUAAAGGGUGCGCAGGCUGCGCAGCCAGUCCGAUGUGACACCCCAUGGCUCACCCAUGGAGGUGCAUUCGAAACUGUUGCUCUUGAUUCUCUUAGAGGCUGUCGGAAUUCUUGGUGUAGCGGUGUAAUGCGUAGAUAUCACGAGGAACACCAGAAGCGAAAGCGGACAGCUGGACGGGUACUGACGCUCAGGCACGAAAGCCUGGGGAGCAAACAGGAUUAGAUACCCUGGUAGUCCACGCCGUAAACGAUGAAUGCUCGCCGUUGCCCCGCUCAAGGGGCAGUGGCUAAGUUAACGCGUUAAGCAAUCCACCUGGGGAGUACGAAUCGCAAGGUUGAAACUCAAAAGGAAAUUGACGGGGGCCCGCACAAAGCGGUGGAGCAUGUGGCUCAAUUCGAUGCAAACGCGAAGAACCUUACCUAGGCUCGAACGCUAGAGGACCGCUCCUGAAAGGGAGCUUUCCCCUUUGGGGCUUCUAGCGAGGUACUGCAUGGCUGUCGUCAGCUCGUGUCGUGAGAUGUUGGGUUAAGUCCCGCAACGAGCGUAAACCCCUGUUGCUAGUUACCAUCGGGUAAUGCCGGGGACUCUAGCGAAACUGCCUGCGCAAGCAGUGAGGAAGGUGGGGAUGACGUCAAGUCAUCAUGGUCCUUACGCCUAGGGCUGCACACGUGCUACGAAUGGCCGGUACGAAUGAGCAGCCACCUCGCGAGAGGGAGCGAAUCCCUGAAAAACCGGUCCCAGUUCGGAUUGGAGUUCUGCAAACUCGACUCCAUGAAAGCAGGAAUCGCUAGUAAUCGCGGAUCAGCGAAUGCCGCGGUGAAUCCGUUCCCGGGCCUUGUACACACCGCCCGUCAAGCCAUGGAAAGCUGAGAGCACCCGAAAGUCCGUGACUCAAACUCCAGCAUUGCGCUGGAGGGAGAAGCGGCCGAAGGUAAGUUCAAGGAACUGGGGCU
rnacentral:rRNA from 1 species